rnacentral:rRNA from 1 species
ACGAACGCUGGCGGCGUGCUUAACACAUGCAAGUCGAACGGAAAGGCCCUGCUUUUGUGGGGUGCUCGCGUGGCGAACGGGUGAGUAACACGUGAGUAACCUGCCCUUGACUUUGGGAUAACUUCAGGAAACUGGGGCUAAUACCGGAUAGGAGCUCCUGCUGCGUGGUGGGGGUUGGAAAGUUUCGGCGGUUGGGGAUGGACUCGCGGCUUAUCAGCUUGUUGGUGGGGUAGUGGCUUACCAAGGCUUUGACGGGUAGCCGGCCUGAGAGGGUGACCGGCCACAUUGGGACUGAGAUACGGCCCAGACUCCUACGGGAGGCAGCAGUGGGGAAUAUUGCACAAUGGGCGGAAGCCUGAUGCAGCAACGCCGCGUGCGGGAUGACGGCCUUCGGGUUGUAAACCGCUUUCGCCUGUGACGAGGCGUGAGUGACGGUAAUGGGUAAAGAAGCACCGGCUAACUACGUG